UACGUAGGAGGCAAGCGUUGUCCGGAGUACUGGGCGUAAAGCGCACGCAGGCGGUCUUGUCAGUCUGUAGGGACAGGGCACAGCUCAACUGUGUCAGGCUUACGGAAACUGCAAGACUUGAGGGCUUCAGAGGGAUGGGGAAUUCCGGGUGGAGUGGUGAAAUGCGUAGAGAUCCGGAAGAACACCAAAGGCGAAGGCACCAUCCUGGGGAGUCACUGACGCUCGGGUGCGAAAGCUAGGGGAGCGGAACGGG
rnacentral:rRNA from 1 species